UCUGAUAUAUCUGGAUUGAUCAUAAUUCGGGUAGUAUUCACUACAUUUUGCGGGGAUCCAUUCUCUACAAAAAUUCAACCAAUUACAAAACUUAUAAGAAUAUUCAUACAUUAAAAUUUCAAAAUGUUUAGAAGAAAUAGACCAAAAAACACACCACUGAAAAUCUUCACUUUUGUGAACUGCAUAUCCAGCACAUGCAAACCUUCAUCAACUUUGGCCAUGAGUUGUUUCAAGUGAUCCACAUAAUCUCCAAACAGAGCAAUCUCACAUUUUCCACUUGUGACAAAAACCAAACAGAAGUUUAAACGAUGGUCCCUUCUAUAAACAAAACGAAGAUAGAUCUUAACAUGCCUCAUAAAAUAAGAUAUCAACAUGUGAUCAGUUAGCUGAAGCAAAAUCAUCUUGGUGAUCUUCCCAUCCUUAAUAUACUCCCUUACCUCCGAUAUUACAGUCAUUAAGCCAAUGCCAUCUAAACAACAAAAAUGAUUAAGAAAAGAAAGAGGUAAUCAUAACAAAAAAGGAACAAUAACAAAGGGAAGCAUAAGGAAAAUAAGCAAAUUAGGAAGAUAUGUAGAUAACUCUAUGAAAACAACAAACCAAUCAAAUAAUCGUUGUCCACGGUUUGAUGGUUAACCUCAACUAUAUUAGUCAAAGUUAAUCCAAACAUGGGAAGCAAGGGACCGUCAACAACACUCACUUUGGUCCUCAUAUGGAAAAACAACUUAUAAGUAUGGGUAGUUGUCCUGUACAAACCACUGUUUGGAGCAACUAAAUUCUAAUCUUAUAAACGCAUAAUUGCUUGAAUUCUAAUCUUCUGAUUUUGCCAAAGAUAUGUCCUGAAAAUGCCCUCGACGACAAUGUAGCACCUUUUUAUUCUACUCUUUAAGGGGCUGACACAAAGCAUUAUAAAACUUUGAUGCAUAAAAAGUGUCUCUUUCACUCUGAUCAAGAAAAACUGGUGCAACUAUAUAGUAAACAUUUUAAUGUUUUUCAAUGAUUAAAAUUAGGUGUCAUUGCAUGAAAGUUAUAUUAUGUAGUUCGUAACACCAUUGUUUCUACAAAUGUGUUUUCAUGGAAUGCUAUUAACAUUUUUGUCUUUAAAUGUAUGCAACAUGUUUUAGCAAUUUUUUACAGAGAUGUUAAUUUUCAUUUGUUUCAACAAUGCUGAUGCAUUUUUUCUAAGAAUAUUGGUUAAGAUCAUAGACGAAUCAAUUGGGUGACAUAAUGCACUGAUAAAGUUAAUAUUUUCCGUCAUAUGCAACCAAUUAUAAAUAAGAGUUUAACCGUUCUUGUUCAUUUGGGUGACUAUAUUCAACCAAUUAUUUUUUUCAAAAGAGG
rnacentral:lncRNA from 1 species